rnacentral:misc_RNA from 1 species
AACGCAACUUGCGCCCAGCAAUGGGCAUGUCUGUUCGAGUACCGCCAGCCAAUGCAGCAAUGCGAUGUGGCCCGUGACACCACCGCCAUCAUGCUCGGUGAGGUCUCGGCUGAAAUGGAGCAAGCGAGCGGAAGUGUGCUCUCGAGUGUGCCAAAUGCCAGAUGGCCUUAGACUCGCUCGACCAACACAGCCUCCCUCCCACUCUCUAUCAUACUCUGGUCUCGAAUCAGGCAAGAUCACCCGCUGAACUUAA